GCAAGCGUAUUUAGCGCAGCGGCAUAUUCUUAGUUAAGCAGACGCAGAUGCAGAUGUCCGUCAACAGGCUAGCGCUCGUUCCGUUUUAAUGCGCUUAUAAAGUUGAUGAAACAAGAGCCAACACAGACUCCACCAGCUUCACCCACUGCAAUCAACAGAUCUCACUCACCUGAUUACUGAUCACACACCUGCCACCAAUCACCAACCACACACCAUAAAGUCACACUUCCCCGGUUCACUCACUGUCUGGUCUCAAACCUACUACGAGAUUAUACCCUACCACAUUGUCUCCUGAGGAUUCACCAAGGACUUUGGACUCCACUCUACCUUUGUGUGUGCGCGCGCCUUCGGCUCCUGGCUCUCCUGUUUCCCGUCUGCUCCAGUGGACUUAACAAUCUACUCCUACAUCAGAUAAGACUCAUAGACUCUCAUAGCUCAAGCCCCCAGUGUGUGCUGUUCCCAUAUUCUGUUUUGGUAUUUCAAUAAACUCCCUUGUCAUAGUAUCUAUCUCUGUGUCCCGUCUCUGCCUGCUGACACAAUUGCAGUCUUACACCUUCCUAACAUACAAUGAUGCAAGUGUGCAGAAACUAUCUGUCACCUGUAUGCUGCCAUAUUUGACAGGAGGAAUAAUAAAAAGUAUAAGGAACUUCAAGCCUGCUUUCACAAACAAAUACUGUAUUUAAACACUGGUUUUCUUCUUUACAUUUAUAAUUUUAGUUUUUGUUCAACUCUUGCAGGAGCAGUCAUGAAAUGGGACAAAGAAGCUACAGAGGCUACAAUCAAGAGUCAUGCAGCAGAACAUCUUAAACAUGCUCCGGGGAGAAAAGGAGGUGGAGGGAACAUAGGGGGGGAAUGAAACAAAGUGUUUUCUUUGCAGUUUACACCAUUAUAUCGGUAUUCAGGGACAGGCACUGCAAUGGUUCAGAUCUUACUUAACAGACCGAUAUCAAUACGUCCAUUUAAAUGGGAAAUCGUCAAAUCUUACGCAAGUCAAUUAUGGAUUACCACAGGGAUCGGUUUUAGGACCCUUGCUUUUCUCCAUAUACAUGCUGCCCCUCGGCAACAUUAUUAGAAAACAUGGAAAUAGCUUCCACUGUUAUGCAGAUGAUACUCAGCUAUAUAUCUCAUCAAGACCAGACGAUUCCUUUAAGCUAUCCAAACUGGCAGAGUGCAUCGAGGACAUAAAACAUUGGAUGACUAGUAAUUUCCUCCUUUUAAACUCUAGCAAAACAGAAAUAUUACUUAUAGCACCAAAAUUAAGUAAACCGAAUAUCUCCGAUUACAGCCUGCAAAUUGAAAGCUGCACUGUUACUCCAACAAAUACAGUUAAAGACCUAGGCGUUAUAUUAGACGGCAACCUGUCAUUUAAAAAUCACAUCUCAAAUAUCACAAAAACAGCCUUCUUCCACCUUAGAAAUGUUGCCAAAUUACGAAAUAGUUUAUGUGUUGCAGACGCAGAAAAGCUUAUUCAUGCAUUUGUGACCUCACGGCUUGACUAUUGUAAUGCUCUACUUAGUGGUUGUCCUGUAUCAUCGAUAAACAAACUACAGUUAGUUCAGAAUGCAGCUGCCAGAGUUCUUACUAGGUCAAGAAAAUACGAUCACAUAACCCCAGUUUUAUCAUCGCUUCACUGGCUACCCAUUAAGUAUCGCAUUGAUUUUAAAGUUAUUUUAAUUACUUACAAAGCCCUGAACGGUUUAGCACCUACUUACUUAACCGAGCUUUUAUCACGUUACAACCCAUCACGCUCGCUGAGAUCUCAAAACUUAGGACUUUUGACAAUACCUAGAAUAACAAAAUCCACCAAAGGUGGACGAGCUUUCUCAUACGUAGCACCUAAACUCUGGAAUAGCCUUCCUGAUACUAUUCGAGGGUCAGACACACUCUCCCAAUUUAAAUCUAGAUUAAAGACACAUCUUUUCAGCCAAGCUUUCACUUAAUGCAUAGUUAAUGAACAGCAGCUACGCUAAUUAUUCUCUUUAUUCUCUUUCCGCCUCUGCCUCGGGAUGCCCAUCCCGAGGUAGGAAGAAGUUCCACCAUGUCCAGACGACCGACAGAUGCCCAUCCCGAGGUAGGAAGAAGUUCCACCAUGUCCAGACGACCGACAGAUGCCCAUCCCCAAUUUGAGAUUACACCAGAUACAGCUGCAGACUGACUGACCAUCCCAGCUCCAUCUAAGGCAAUUCCACCAGCUGCCAAGAGAAAUAUGACCAUCGGACCAUCCCAGCUCAGACCACUACAUCCCCAACCAAGAGCAAAGACGGACUAUUUGUCUUAUUAAUGCUGAAGUUACAAUAUUUGGUAUUAAAUGCUAAACUAAAAUCACAUGUCACCAGUCUGAGUGCAGCUAUGACACGUCAGAGGGGAUCUGGCCCUCCCGAUUGAGCCUGGUUUCUCCCGAGGUUUUUUUCUCCAUUAAUCAAUCAUUGGAGUUUGGGUUCCUCGCCACAGCAGGGCAGUGUUGGCCUGCUCACCGGGAGACUGCAUUCAUUCAUUUAUUUAUUUAGAAAUUAGAUGUUAUUUAUUAGAAUGAACUUACUCGUUGUAUAAAUACCAUGCACUGUGCUGUGUUUUAACUUUUCUGUUUUUCCUGUUUGCCCCUGUAAAGCUGCUUUGAAACAAUACACAUUGUGAAAAGCGCUAUAUAAAUAAACUUGAAUUGAAGUUUAGGGGACUUUUUACCUCCCUCUUUUUAUGUCUUUUUUCAGUUAGCAGUUUAAUUACUAAUUUAUUUAUUUGAAUGUUUUAUUUAUCAGCUUGUUCAUAUUCUGCUGAAAACAUUAAAAUGGAACAAAUAUUCUCUUUUCAUUUCAACUUCCCUCAUUUUAUAUCUUUGUUUUCCACUCAUAAGAUUAAGUACUUUAUAAUUGUUUUACGUAUCAGCUUGUUCAUAUUCUGCUGAAAACAUUAAAGAUAGGAAAAAAUA